AUUGAACGCUGGCGGCAGGCCUAACACAUGCAAGUCGAGCGGUUGAAGGGAGCUUGCUCCUGGAUUCAGCGGCGGACGGGUGAGUAAUGCCUAUGAAUCUGCCUGGUAGUGGGGGAUAACGUCCGGAAACGGGCGCUAAUAUCGCAUACGUCUUGAGGGAGAAAGUGGGGGAUCUUCGGAUCUCACGCUAUCAGAUGAGCCUAGGUCGGAUUAGCUAGUUGGUGGGGUAAAGGCCUACCAAGGCGACGAUCCGUAACUGGUCUGAGAGGAUGAUCAGUCACACUGAGACUGAGACACGGUCCAGAGUCCUAGGGAAGGCAGCAAUGGGGAAUAGUGGACAAUGGGCGAAAGCCUGAACCAGCCAUGCCGCGUGUGUGAAGAAGGUCUUCGGAUUGUAAAGCACUUUAAGUUGGGAGGAAGGGCAGUAAGUUAAUACCUUGCUGUUUUGACGUUACCAACAGAAUAAGCACCGGCUAACUUCGUG
rnacentral:rRNA from 1 species